rnacentral:rRNA from 1 species
AAACCGUUCAGGGGUAAACCUGAGAAACCCGAAAGAUCGAAUGGGAAGAUUCAGCGUCAGCGGCGUUGGCUCGGCGGAUAGUGCGUCGUUUCGGACUUCGGUCCUGAGACGGCGUAAUCUUUCCAUGCCUUGUUCGGCGUCGUCGUCGUGCACUUCUUCCCUAGUAGAACGUCGCGACCCGUUGGGUGCCGGUCUACGGUCCGAGUGGUAGACUGUCGCGUCGCUUCGGCGCACGCGACAGACCCUCGGUCACCCGGCCGGCUGCCCGGCGGUCGAACUUAUAAGGUAUCUUGCCGCAAUCAUUUGAACUGCGUCGGGCCCGUCGCAAGCGCGGCCAGUGUCUUCUCGGAGGUACGGACCCGGUGCCGUCCCCGAGCCUGGCCAGCUGUUGGCAGACGGAGUCCUUUGACCGGCAAUACACAAAAUUGAUACCGGUCUGCGACGCUACUGCUUUGGGUACUCUCAGGACCCGUCUUGAAACACGGACCAAGGAGUCUAACAUGUGCGCGAGUCAUUGGGACUGCGAAGCCUAAAGGCGAAAUGAAAGUGAAGGUCGUACCGUAAGGUCGACAGAGGGAGGAUGGGCCGUGUCUGGGCGCGGCUCCGCACUCCCGGGGCGUCUCGUUCUCAUUGCGAGAAGAGGCGCACCCAGAGCGUACACGUUGGGACCCGAAAGAUGGUGAACUAUGCCUGGUCAGGACGAAGUCAGGGGAAACCCUGAUGGAGGUCCGUAGCGAUUCUGACGUGCAAAUCGAUCGUCGGAACUGGGUAUAGGGGCGAAAGACUAAUCGA